rnacentral:rRNA from 1 species
UGAGGAAUAUUGGUCAAUGGGCGGGAGCCUGAACCAGCCAAGCCGCGUGAGGGAUGAAGGCCCUAUGGGUCGUAAACCUCUUUUGUCAGGGAACAAAAGCGAGUAUGUAUACUAGUCUGAGUGUACCUGAAGAAAAAGCAUCGGCUAACUCCGUGCCAGCAGCCGCGGUAAUACGGAGGAUGCGAGCGUUAUCCGGAUUUAUUGGGUUUAAAGGGUGCGUAGGCGGCGAUGCAAGUCAGCGGUAAAAGCCCGGGGCUCAACCCCGGCGAGCCGUUGAAACUGCAGUGCUAGAGAAGGCGAGAGGUACGCGGAAUGCGCAGUGUAGCGGUGAAAUGCUUAGAUAUUGCGCAGAACUCCGAUUGCGAAGGCAGCGUACUGGCGCCUGACUGACGCUGAGGCACGAAAGCGUGGGGGAUUGAACAGGAUUAGAUACC